rnacentral:rRNA from 1 species
UGGGGAAUUUUGGACAAUGGGCGAAAGCCUGAUCCAGCAAUGCCGCGUGUGUGAAGAAGGCCUUCGGGUUGUAAAGCACUUUUGUCCGGAAAGAAAUCCUUGGCUCUAAUACAGUCGGGGGAUGACGGUACCGGAAGAAUAAGCACCGGCUAACUACGUGCCAGCAGCCGCGGUAAUACGUAGGGUGCAAGCGUUAAUCGGAAUUACUGGGCGUAAAGCGUGCGCAGGCGGUUUGCUAAGACCGAUGUGAAAUCCCCGGGCUCAACCUGGGAACUGCAUUGGUGACUGGCAGGCUAGAGUAUGGCAGAGGGGGGUAGAAUUCCACGUGUAGCAGUGAAAUGCGUAGAGAUGUGGAGGAAUACCGAUGGCGAAGGCAGCCCCCUGGGCCAAUACUGACGCUCAUGCACGAAAGCGUGGGGAGCAAAACAGGAUUAGAUACCCUGGUAGUCCACGCCCUAAAACGAUGUCAACUAGUUGUUGGGGAUUCAUUUCCUUAGUAACGUAGCUAACGCGUGAAGUUGACCGCCUGGGGAGUACGGUCGCAAGAUUAAAACUCAAAUGAAUUGACGGGGUCAUAGCU